UACGGAGGGGGCUAGCGUUGUUCGGAAUUACUGGGCGUAAAGCGCGCGUAGGCGGACCUGCAAGUCGGGGGUGAAAGCCCGAGGCUCAACCUCGGAACUGCCUUCGAUACUGCGGGUCUCGAGUCCGGGAGAGGUGAGUGGAAUUCCUAGUGUAGAGGUGAAAUUCGUAGAUAUUAGGAAGAACACCAGUGGCGAAGGCGGCUCACUGGCCCGGUAUUGACGCUGAGGCGCGAAAGCGUGGGGAGCAAACAGG
rnacentral:rRNA from 1 species